rnacentral:rRNA from 1 species
AUUGAACGCUGGCGGCAUGCCUUACACAUGCAAGUCGAACGGCAGCAUGAUCUAGCUUGCUAGAUUGAUGGCGAGUGGCGAACGGGUGAGUAAUACAUCGGAACGUGCCCUGUAGUGGGGGAUAACUAGUCGAAAGAUUAGCUAAUACCGCAUACGACCUGAGGGUGAAAGUGGGGGACCGCAAGGCCUCAUGCUAUAGGAGCGGCCGAUGUCUGAUUAGCUAGUUGGUGAGGUAAAGGCUCACCAAGGCGACGAUCAGUAGCUGGUUUGAGAGGACGAUCAGCCACACUGGGACUGAGACACGGCCCAGACUCCUACGGGAGGCAGCAGUGGGGAAUUUUGGACAAUGGGCGAAAGCCUGAUCCAGCAAUGCCGCGUGUGUGAAGAAGGCCUUCGGGUUGUAAAGCACUUUUGUCCGGAAAGAAAUGGCUCUGGUUAAUACCUGGGGUCGAUGACGGUACCGGAAGAAUAAGGACCGGCUAACUACGUG